rnacentral:RNase_P_RNA from 1 species
UGAGUGGGAAAGAUAAUCGCGGAUGCCGUAGGGCAGACGAGGAAAGUCCGAGCUCCAUAGGGCAGAAUGCUGGAUAACGUCCAGUGGGGGUGACCCCAAGGAAAGUGCCACAGAAAUGUGUACCGCCGACGGCUGUCGGUAAGGGUGGAACGGUGCGGUAAGAGCGCACCAGCAACCAAGUGAUUGGUUGGCUAGGUAAACCCCAUUCGGAGCAAGACCAAAUAGGGAAGGGAUGAAGCGGCCCGCUGAGCCUUCCGGGUUGUGUCGCUAGAACGUGCAGGCAACUGUAAGUCAAGAUAAAUGAUUAUCAUUAACAGAACUCGGCUUAAUGAACACUCAUACC